AAACAAAUAGAAUACAAAGAGAGUAACAAAGGCCUGUUUCUUUUAGCUUUGAGAAACUCUGGCCAUGGAGAAUAUUUUAGCAAAAAGAAAAGAAAAAGAGUCAAAACUUGCCACUAGAAGAGGUCACAUCACUAACCCAACCUAACAGUAAAAAGAGGGGAGGCAUUACCAGGUUGAAUGAUACAGAGGGGAGAGAGAGAAUUAAUAUAUAUGAGCUGAAAUGUAAUUUUCCUCUUCAUGGACAAUUAGAGUUUUUACCAGGGCCCCCAUAAUAAAAGUAA
rnacentral:lncRNA from 1 species